CUUCUCUUUGUUCUUCUUCUCCAUUCUUCUCCAUUUCUCUCCAUCGAAUUCAAUACAGAGAGUUGAGUUAAAUCUUGCAAGCAGUUCUUUGUAAACUUGUUAGUUUGUUUGAUAGAAGACGAAGCUGCUGGUAUUGAAGCUGUUUGAUCUCAUGAAAAGAUAAAAAGGAUAAUCUUGUAGACAUCGGAUCUCGAGGUAGGCGAGGCUUGUCAUCUAAUCAGUUUCAGUAAUCAGAAGAUAUGGAGUACGCGAAGAUAUCGGUUUCGUAGCUUAGAGCUUUAUCGAAUUUAGUAUUGUUGUAUAUCUUAUAUUAUAUGUAUUCUUUUUUUAUUUUGUAAACGACACAUUAUUAUACUCAUAUCACUCGAGAGAUUUCGAAUUGUAUAAUAUCAGUGUGUCUGGGUAUGU